rnacentral:rRNA from 1 species
AAAUUGAAGAGUUUGAUCAUGGCUCAGAUUGAACGCUGGCGGCAGGCCUAACACAUGCAAGUCGAACGGUAACAGGAAGCAGCUUGCUGCUUCGCUGACGAGUGGCGGACGGGUGAGUAAUGUCUGGGAAACUGCCUGAUGGAGGGGGAUAACUACUGGAAACGGUGGCUAAUACCGCAUAACGUCGCAAGACCAAAGAGGGGGACCUUCGGGCCUCUUGCCAUCAGAUGUGCCCAGAUGGGAUUAGCUUGUUGGUGAGGUAACGGCUCACCAAGGCGACGAUCCCUAGCUGGUCUGAGAGGAUGACCAGCCACACUGGAACUGAGACACGGUCCAGACUCCUACGGGAGGCAGCAGUGGGGAAUAUUGCACAAUGGGCGCAAGCCUGAUGCAGCCAUGCCGCGUGUAUGAAGAAGGCCUUCGGGUUGUAAAGUACUUUCAGCGGGGAGGAAGGUGUUGCGGUUAAUAACCGCAGCAAUUGACGUUACCCGCAGAAGAAGCACCGGCUAACUCCGUGCCAGCAGCCGCGGUAAUACGGAGGGUGCAAGCGUUAAUCGGAAUUACUGGGCGUAAAGCGCACGCAGGCGGUCUGUCAAGUCGGAUGUGAAAUCCCCGGGCUCAACCUGGGAACUGCAUUCGAAACUGGCAGGCUUGAGUCUUGUAGAGGGGGGUAGAAUUCCAGGUGUAGCGGUGAAAUGCGUAGAGAUCUGGAGGAAUACCGGUGGCGAAGGCGGCCCCCUGGACAAAGACUGACGCUCAGGUGCGAAAGCGUGGGGAGCAAACAGGAUUAGAUACCCUGGUAGUCCACGCCGUAAACGAUGUCUACUUGGAGGUUGUGCCCUUGAGGCGUGGCUUCCGGAGCUAACGCGUUAAGUAGACCGCCUGGGGAGUACGGCCGCAAGGUUAAAACUCAAAUGAAUUGACGGGGGCCCGCACAAGCGGUGGAGCAUGUGGUUUAAUUCGAUGCAACGCGAAGAACCUUACCUGGUCUUGACAUCCACAGAACUUUCCAGAGAUGGACUGGUGCCUUCGGGAACUGUGAGACAGGUGCUGCAUGGCUGUCGUCAGCUCGUGUUGUGAAAUGUUGGGUUAAGUCCCGCAACGAGCGCAACCCUUAUCCUUUGUUGCCAGCGGUUAGGCCGGGAACUCAAAGGAGACUGCCAGUGAUAAACUGGAGGAAGGUGGGGAUGACGUCAAGUCAUCAUGGCCCUUACGACCAGGGCUACACACGUGCUACAAUGGCGCAUACAAAGAGAAGCGACCUCGCGAGAGCAAGCGGACCUCAUAAAGUGCGUCGUAGUCCGGAUUGGAGUCUGCAACUCGACUCCAUGAAGUCGGAAUCGCUAGUAAUCGUGGAUCAGAAUGCCACGGUGAAUACGUUCCCGGGCCUUGUACACACCGCCCGUCACACCAUGGGAGUGGGUUGCAAAAGAAGUAGGUAGCUUAACCUUCGGGAGGGCGCUUACCACUUUGUGAUUCAUGACUGGGGUGAAGUCGUAACAAGGUAACCGUAGGGGAACCUGCGGUUGGAUCACCUCCUUA